rnacentral:rRNA from 1 species
AAGCCUGAUCCAGCAAUGCCGCGUGAGUGAUGAAGGUCUUCGGAUUGUAAAGCUCUUUCGACGGGGAAGAUAAUGACGGUACCCGUAGAAGAAGCCCCGGCUAACUUCGUGCCAGCAGCCGCGGUAAUACGAAGGGGGCUAGCGUUGUUCGGAUUUACUGGGCGUAAAGCGUGCGUAGGCGGCUUAUCAAGUCAGAAGUGAAAGCCCGGGGCUCAACUCCGGAACUGCUUUUGAGACUGGUAGGCUGGAGUUCGGGAGAGGGUAGUGGAAUUCCCAGUGUAGAGGUGAAAUUCGUAGAUAUUGGGAAGAACACCGGUGGCGAAGGCGGCUGCCUGGCCCGAAACUGACGCUGAGGCACGAAAGCGUGGGGAGCAAACAGGAUUAGAUACCCUGGUAGUCCACGCCGUAAACGAUGAGUGCUGGACGUUGGGAUACUUAGUAUCGCAGUGUCGUAGCUAACGCGUUAAGCACUCCGCCUGGGGAGUACGGCCGCAAGGUUAAAACUCAAAGGAAUUGACGGGG